UACGUAGGGUGCGAGCGUUAAUCGGAAUUACUGGGCGUAAAGCGUGCGCAGGCGGUUUUGUAAGCCAGAUGUGAAAUCCCCGGGCUCAACCUGGGAACUGCCUUUGUGACUGCAAGGCUUGAGUGCGGCAGAGGGGGAUGGAAUUCCGCGUGUAGCAGUGAAAUGCGUAGAUAUGCGGAGGAACACCGAUGGCGAAGGCAAUCCCCUGGGCCUGCACUGACGCUCAUGCACGAAAGCGUGGGGAGCAAACAGG
rnacentral:rRNA from 1 species